CACGCAAAUACAAGAGAAAGGGAAGUGUAGGUCAUUAACGCAACAUGGAAGGCAGAACUGGACAUAUGCUUUUUCUUUGUGAUGUAACUUUGUUUGCAUGAAACUCCCUUUCAGGUUGUUUUUCCUGAACUCUCGAUAACAAUGUUGCCAUCUGCACUCUGCACAAGCAUUUGAAAACUAACCACCAAGGUAUUAACAAAGGGGCCAGAAGAGGCCACUAGUUUCUCUUGUUGCAUUGAAAUUCCAUUCCUUUUCUUUUGACCUUCCCAGAAGUAAUCACAUAAAACAAUGAUAUGUUGAGCUCUUAACCAACCAAGAACAAAAUUAAAACAGUCCUUGGGCGCUCUACUGACCAGUUACCAUUUGUGAGACAGAACUGACAUGGAACAGCAGCCCACUAAGUUGGCAAGCUUUCAAUUGAAUCUGCUACUAAGUUUUCU
rnacentral:misc_RNA from 1 species